GAUGAACGCUAGCGGCAGGCCUAAUACAUGCAAGUCGAACGCACAGCGAAAGGUGCUUGCACCUUUCAAGUGAGUGGCGAACGGGUGAGUAACACGUGGACAACCUGCCUCAAGGCUGGGGAUAACAUUUGGAAACAGAUGCUAAUACCGAAUGAAACUUAGUGUCGCAUGAUACGAAGUUAAAAGGCGCUUUGGCGUCACCUAGAGAUGGAUCCGCGGUGCAUUAGUUAGGUGGUGGGGUAAAGGCCUACCAAGACAAUGAUGCAUAGCCGGGUUGAGAGACUGAUCGGCCACAUUGGGACUGAGACACGGCCCAAACUCCUACGGGAGGCUGCAGUAGGGAAUCUUCCACAAUGGGCGAAAGCCUGAGGGAGCAACGCCGCGUGUGUGAUGAAGGCUUUCGGGUCGUAAAGCACUGUUGUAUGGGAAGAACAGCUAGAAUAGGGAAUGAUUUUAGUUUGACGGUACCAUACCAGAAAGGGACGGCUAAAUACGUGCCAGCCGCCGCAGUAA
rnacentral:rRNA from 1 species